AGAAAUAAAAAUGGACGGAAGCUUUAGCCUCCUUCACUGACUCGCGUGAACGGCUCUAAAGGAUAAAGUAUGUUCCUACGACGCACCUUUCCGUGCCGUAUAUGUCAACGGCGAUGGCAAUUCACUCCAAUGAAACAUGUCACACCAUACUCUACGUCCAACUUUCCUAACCUAACCUAAGUGAGAAAACAAACUCCACCUAGCAAAUCGAUUAGAAUCUUAUCGUCAACGGAGAAUGGAGAUCCACCUCUCUGGUAAUUGUCACACACUCCGAUUAAUGAAGAUUAUAGAUGUGUCCCUCUGAUCGGUUCCUUGCAACAACGAAGAGCACGCGAUGGCGAAAGAUCUAAAACAGGUGUUCUCGUGUUGACAAGCGAAGAAGAUCGCUCCGCUUCGCCUUCGUUGUUCGCUCGUGUUUUAUUGUGAUGUUGGUUUGGCUUUGUGAUUCUCCUGUGAUUUUUUGGGGUGCAGGUGGUGGUGAAGAGGAAGUGUGUGAGGAUGAGGAGAUGACGCAAGAAGGUAGGAUGGUUAUGAUGGCGGAAGACGGUUGAAGGCGACGAUGGUGGUUUGUGAGUUUGUUAGCGGAAGUGGUUCUAAAAAAGAAACAGAAAGCGCGCGGAACCGAAGACUCAACUGGGAAACACACGUAUUUAUAGAAUUAAAACGCGUGGCUUAUGCGUCGUGCUAGGAAGUUGAUGGUAUUUGCUUCUUUUGAAUUUUCGCCCUGGCUUGAGUUGUAGCAGCAUGCGCGUGCUGCGUUUGGUUUUGAAUCAUUGUUACACCUUGGCUGCACUUGAACGGUGUUGCAACUUCUUCUUGGUUCUAGCAGGAUUUUCCAUACGUGCUUCAAUGGGAUUAGCUUGUUUUAGAUCCAUUGUGUUUGGUAUUCAGUAGCAGUGCAAUUUGGAUACAACUCAUGGUGGUACCUGCAUUUGUCUUAUUGGCAAAGACUUUGAUUUUAAUAACGGACAUGGGUAUUGUAAUAUGGAUAAUAUGCCUUUUGGAUUAAAUGGAUAUUUAGUCAUGGAUUAAAAAAAUUCAAAUUGGAUAAUGGACAUG